GAGACACCCAGAUGAAGGGUAUUUCUUCCUCUCCUGUUUCCCCCGAUACCAUCAGCUCUAGCUCUGGAUACCUGCUUUUCAAGUUCUAAAUGAAGACUGUCAUCAAUAGUUUCAUUUGGCUGUUCGGCCCUUUUCUUCAAGACCAUUUUCUUCAACAAAUCAGAAGGCUUCAUCUGCACAAGAUAUCGAUGCAGGACCGAGAUCUGUCAAGAGAAGAGAGACUGGUCAAGUCUGAGCAGUGCAUUCCUUGAGCUAAUUCCAGUGUGCCCAUCCCCAUCCCCCAGUUCUCUGCUACCCAUUUUUCUGUUUCCUCCAAAGUCCUCAAAUGCUUCAGGUAUCGCCUUUAAUGGAGCUACUUGCAUGAGUUUGAGUGGGGUUUGCUUCUCGGGCAAAGCUGUUACCAGUGGCCACACAAGGAGAGGAGUCUCCUGGGUCAUGCACUGCCUACCACUCUUCAAGGAGGGCAGGCCCUCCUGAGUCUUGCACAGUCAGGCUGAAGAGUCUCCAGAGGAAACAAAGAUCCAAAACCAACGCCCAUGUUGAAGAAUACAGCUGCUAUAUCAGACAAAGAUGGGAUCCAGGGCCAAACUGGAGAGUCACUGAAAGUAUCUGGUUAACACAAGAAAUUAUUUUAAUUCAAAUCACUCUUUCACAAAACCACCUUGAGUAGUGAUAAUCCAUCUAAAGUGGUUUGAAUAUGCUUGUCCUAUGGAGUGACACUAUUAGGAGGUGAGGCC
rnacentral:lncRNA from 1 species